UUCUUUGUUUCUUGUGUAAAUCCAAGCUUCUAAUUGGUAUCAUACUUCUGCCUGGAGAACUUCCUCUAAUAUUUCUUGUAUCAUGGGUCUGCUAGCAGUGAAAUUGCUCAGCAUUUGUCAGAAAGAUUUUUUUUUUUUUGCUUUCAUUUUUGAAAGAUACUUUCACUGUGUAUAGAAUUCUGGUUUGAUGGGUAAAUUUUUCCCCCACUCAGGACUUUAAAGUUGCUGAUCCAUUGUUUUUGAUUUGCAUAAUUUCUGGCGAGAAGUCUGCUCUAAUUUUUAUCUUUGUUCUUCUGUUAGUAAUGCACUGUGUUCCUCCCCCCACCUCCUCACAGGCUGCCUUUGAGAUUUUCUUCUUAUCAUUGGCUUUCACAAUUUGAUAGUAAGCUAUUAUGAUGUGCACGUGUGUAUAUAUGUGUGUGGUGUGUGUGAGUGUGUGUGGCAUUUUUCCUGAUUGGGGGUCACAGAGCUUCUUAUAUCCCUGAUUUGAUAUAUCUUGUUAAUUCUGGAAAAAUUUCAGUGCUUAUUUAAAUAUUUAUUCUUCUGCACUCCUUUCUCUUCUCAUUCAGGGGCUACCAUAAUGUUGGUGGGCCUCCUCCAAUCAGCUGAAGGUCUUAACAGAAAAAGACUAAGGUCCCUCAAAGAAGGUGACAUUUUGCCUCUAGGUCGCCUUCAAACCCAAGCUGCAAAAUCAACUCUUUCCUGAGUCACCAGCCUGUUGGCCUGCCCUGCAGACUUUGGAUUUUCUCAGGACCCCAACUCCAUGAGCCAAUUCCUUGAAAUCCAGCUGCCUUCUCUCUGCAUGAGACAAGAAUCUGAGGAAGUGGGAAUGCCUCUCUCCAGCAGCUGAAGGUCACCUCCUGCAGGCCUGGACCACCAAGGCAGGCUCUCUCGGGCCUUCUGUCCUGCCUCAACCUUUCUCCUGAGCUCCCAGUGGAGGCCUAGGGGGAAGAUCUGGCAGGUGAGGGGACUCCUUUGCAUCUGGGGUCCCCAGCUAUUGCACACUGACACACCAGCCUCCUCUUGGCCUUUAAAAAUUCAUUAAAGUGUUAUCUGGUUGUAUUU